CCUUGCAGUUUGAUCUCAGACUGCUGUGCUAGCAAUCAGCGAGACUCCGUGGGCGUAGGACCCUCCGAGCCAGGUGCGGGAUGUAAUCUCGUGGUGGGCCGUUUUUUAAGCCCGUCGGAAAAGCGCAGUAUUCGGGUGGGAGUGACCCGAUUUUCCAGGUGCCGUCCGUCACCCCUUUCUUUGACUAGGAAAGGGAACUCCCUGACCCCUUGCGCUUCCCUAGUGAGGCAAUGCCUCGCCCUGCUUCGGCUUGCGCACGGUGCGCGCACCCACUGACCUGCGCCCACUGUCUGGCACUCCCUAGUGAGAUGAACCCGGUACCUCAGAUGGAAAUGCAGAAAUCACCUGUCUUCUGCGACGCUCACACUGGGAGCUGUAGACCGGAGCUGUUCCUAUUCGGCCAUCUUGGCUCCUCCCCAGGAAAAAAUUUCUUAAAGUUGUUUUCUCCACUUUUCUGAUGCUGAUCAAAUUUGAAUUCCCACAUCAUAUUUAUGUAUCUCAAGUAUAUUUGACAAACAGAUGCUGUACUGUAUCUCAGGCCUCUUGCCCAACAAAAUGGUGAACAAGACUCCACCUACUUCAAGGAUUGGGAGAAUAGAGAGUGGAAUGGGAACAACUGGUUGACAUUUGAUGACCUGCAGAUGGGACCUGAAGCAAGCUUCCUACAAUCCUCACUGCUUUGCUGACAUUUGGAACUUUAGUACAGGAUGAGUGGCUUUCACUUAUUUGACUUCAUCAGAGCUGAAGAGGGUCUCUGGCAUGGCUUCUCUCAGGUUUUGAAUCUCCCUGGUUUUGGCUGAGAUUCAUACUUUAUUCAGGCAUUCUGAUUCCACACUCAACAAAACUGGAAUUGAAGCUUCACUUUUAAAAGUGGGAGUUUCAUUUGUUAUUUCUUUAGAGAUUCUGCUGUUUGCUGAUACUGUUAGUAUAAUUUGGUUUUGUUUUGAAAGGUCAAAAGUAUACGUGCAACAACAUGGAUGAACGUUGAAAACAUUAUGCUAAGUGAAGGAAGCCACUCACCAAGGACCACAUACUGUAUGUUUCCAUUUAUAUGAAAUCUCCAGAAUAGGCAAAUUCCUAGAGACAAAAGUCACAUUAGUAGUUGCCGG
rnacentral:lncRNA from 10 species